ensembl:lncRNA
GCUGAAUACAACAGGUGUAGGUAGACAUUACAGUGAAAUGCUGAAUACAACAGGUGUAGGUAGACAUUACAGUGAAAUGCUGAAUACAACAGGUGUAGUAGACCUCACAGUGAAAUGCUGAAUACAACAGGUGUAGGUAGACAUUACAGUGAAAUGCUGAAUACAACAGGUGUAGGUAGACAUUACAGUGAAAUGCUGAAUACAACAGGUGUAGUAGACCUUACAGUGAAAUGCUGAAUACAACAGGUGUAGGUAGACAUUACAGUGAAAUGCUGAAUACAACAGGUGUAGGUAGACAUUACAGUGAAAUGCUGAAUACAACAGGUGUAGGUAGACAUUACAGUGAAAUGCUGAAUACAACAGGUGUAGGUAGACCUUACAGUGAAAUGCUGAAUACAACAGGUGUAGUAGACCUCACAGUGAAAUGCUGAAUACAACAGGUGUAGGUAGACAUUACAGUGAAAUGCUGAAUACAACAGGUGUAGGUAGACAUUACAGUGAAAUGCUGAAUACUACAGGUGUAGUAGACCUCACAGUGAAAUGCUGAAUACAACAGGUGUAGUAGACCUCACAGUGAAAUGCUGAAUACAACAG